UACGAAGGGGGCUAGCGUUGCUCGGAAUCACUGGGCGUAAAGGGUGCGUAGGUGGCCAGGUAAGUUCGGUGUGAAAGCUCGGAGCUUAACUCCGAAAUGUCAUUGAAUACUAUCUGGCUGGAGGGUCGGAGGGGAGACUGGAAUUCUCGGUGUAGCAGUGAAAUGCGUAGAUAUCGAGAGGAACACCAGUGGCGAAGGCGAGUCUCUGGACGACUCCUGACACUGAGGCACGAAAGCCAGGGGAGCAAACAGG
rnacentral:rRNA from 1 species